GCCCGCCUAGCUCAAUCGGAUAGAGCGUCAGACUUUUACGGAGUCUCUCCAGGCGGGAAUCUGAAGGCUGCGAGUUCGACCCUCGCGGUGGGCU